UACAGAGGUCUCAAGCGUUGUUCGGAUUCAUUGGGCGUAAAGGGUGCGUAGGCGGCGCGGUAAGUCGGGUGUGAAAUCUUGGAGCUUAACUCCGAAACUGCAUUCGAUACUGCCGUGCUUGAGGACUGGAGAGGAGACUGGAAUUUACGGUGUAGCGGUGAAAUGCGUUGAGAUCGGAAGGAACGCCCGUGGCGAAAGCGAGGUCCUGGACGUCUGCUGACGCUGAGACGCGAAAGCCAGGGGAGCGAACGGG
rnacentral:rRNA from 1 species